GAGCGCGGUUCAAGUGCGAGCCACGAGCCGUGGAAGCUCGGGCGAGUGCGAACGCGAAUGGAGAAGGCUAGCGGAGAAACCUAAACGAAGCAAGAGGCUCGCAACGGGAUACAUAAUAUACAUAAUUAAAAAAGAAACAGACAAAGGGCGGCUAACUAGCCUGGCAAUUACACGUUGCAACCGGGGAGAUACGAAUUCAUCUCUCGUCGCCUUUAUUCAAUUAACCUACGAACUGAGAAUCCACGCACCGUGAAUGUACGUGACAAACUUCAUCUACUUUUUUUCUUUUUUGGAAAAUCGCUCUUGUUUCUUGAAGAAAGAAUUUAUUCCACGCAUCAGACGUGUUAUCCAACAAGUGAGAAAAAGUAAUUACCCACGCUGCUGCCUAUGCAAAAAAGCUGCGCUCCAAAAUUAACUCUUAAUCGCGCUCGUCCGACUGUCA
rnacentral:misc_RNA from 1 species